rnacentral:rRNA from 1 species
UACGUAGGGCGCAAGCGUUAUCCGGAAUUAUUGGGCGUAAAGAGCUCGUAGGCGGUUUGUCGCGUCUGCCGUGAAAGUCCGGGGCUCAACUCCGGAUCUGCGGUGGGUACGGGCAGACUAGAGUGAUGUAGGGGAGACUGGAAUUCCUGGUGUAGCGGUGAAAUGCGUAGAUACCGGGAGGAACACCCGCAGCGAAGGCGGCCGGCUGGGCCAACCCUGACGCUGAGGCGCGAAGGCUCGGGGAGCGAACGGG